GAGGUGUUAGUAAAACAAUUACAUAGCCUUGUCAAGACUAAAUCACAGGUUAGACUCCUGUACACCUCU
rnacentral:tRNA from 1 species